CCAGAGGGAGCAUGAGAAACGGCUACCACAUCUAAGGAAGGCAGCAGGCGCGUAAUUACCCAAUCCUGACUCAGGGAGGUAGUGACAAGAAAUAGCAAACCGGGAACCUCAUGGUUUCACGGUAUUGCAAUGAGAACAAUUUAAAACCCUUAGCGAGAAUCAAGUGGAGGACAAGUCUGGUGCCAGCACCCGCGGUAAUUCCAGCUCCACUAGCGUAUAUUAAAGUUGUUGCAGUUAAAAAGCUCGUAGUUGAACCUCUGUCUGGGGCUAGUUUUGGCUUUGGUCAGGCUAGUUCUAGGCAUCCGCCUACAAGACUUAGAGGGCAUUCAGUUGUUCACUAGGAGGAGUAGGCAUUUUACUUUGAAAAAAUUAGAGUGUUUAAGGCAGGCAAUCGCCCGCAUAUAUUAGCAUGGAAUAAUAGAAUAGGACACUUUUCCAUUUCGUUGGUUAUUGGAAUCGUGUAAUGAUUAAUAGGGACAGUUGUGGGCAUUUGUAUUUAAUUGUCAGAGGUGAAAUUCUUGGAUUUAUUAAAGACAAACUAACGCGAAAGCAUUUGCCAAGGAUGUUUUCAUUAAUCAAGAACGAAAGUUAGGGGAUCAAAGACGAUCAGAUACCGUCCUAGUCUUAACUAUAAACUAUUCCGACUCAAUGUUUGACUGGCUUAUAUAACCAGUUGAGCGUUGUAUGAGAAAUCAAAGUCUUUAGGUUCUGGGGGGAGUAUGGUUGCAAAGCUGAAACUUAAAGGAAUUGACGGAAGAGCACAACCAGGAGUGGAUUCUGCGGCUUAAUUUGACUCAACACGGGGAAACUUACCAGGUUAAAACAAUAGUGGGAUUGACAGUUUGAGAGCGCUUUCUUGAUUGGUUGGGUGGUGGUGCAUGGCCGUUCUUAGUUGGUGGAGUGAUUUGUCUGCUUAAUUGCGUUAACGAACGAGACCUUAACCUGCUUACUAGACUGGCGAUCAUCAAUCGUUAGCUCUUCUUAGAGGGACUUUGGUUGUUUUAACUCCAAGGAAGUUUGAGGCAAUAACAGGUCUGUGAUGCCCUUAGAUAUCCUGGGCCGCACGCGUCAUACAAUGACUAGUUCAGAAAGUUUUCUCCUGACCCGAAAGGGGAUGGGUAAUCUUGAUAAUACUAGUCGUGUUAGGGAUCGAUCUUUGCAAUUAUAGAUCUUGAACGAGGAAUUCCUAGUAAGUGCGGUUCAUCAGACCGUACUGAUUACGUCCCUGCUCUUUGUACACACCGCCCGUCGCUUCUACCGAGUGGGUGGUCCGGUGAGAUAAUUGAACUUCGCAGGUAACUGAGAGGAAAGAUUAUCAAACCUAUCCACCUCGAGGAAGAAGAAGUCGUAACAAGGUU
rnacentral:rRNA from 1 species